AAGAAGGCACAUUUCCCAAAGCUAUCAUAACUCAUCCUGGUUGGUUACUUCAGUCAUACAUAAUCACAAGCUUUCUUUUUUGUUAUUUCUACCCACACUGUCUCUGGGUGGAAAAAAGCAAAUAGUAAAAACAACAAAGCAACAAUAAUUAUAUUCAUCAACAACCCUCUGAUUGAAAAUGAAAAACCCUCUCAUUGAGAAUAAAAACCGUAACAAAUAUUUUAAAGGUAAGUAAAAUAGGCUAACCUAUCAUUUAUUUUUAUUUUCAUAUGAUUAAGUAAUUUUGUCAUUAACAAAUGACAGUUUAAGAUCUGUAUUUUUCUCAAUGGCUUUAUAAGUACUUCUAAGAGACUUUAAUUUUUGCAGUAUUCCAGACUACUUCAAGUCCAACAGUAUAAAGGUAAGAUAAACUUAUCACUUUUGCCCCUUGCCUCCCCUCAAACUUUAGGGCUAUUUCCAUGAAUUAAACACAUACUGGCUUGUAGAUUCUCAUUUACAUGUUAUCAGAACCACGUUUAAACUGAUAAACUUUUGUAUUACAGAAAAAAAUUUAAAAGUAUGCUUUAAAAUUCUCCAUCUGCCCCCUCCCUGCAGCAAUCUUAUGAAAGUUUCCAUUAACCUAUGUCAUCUAUUUAACAGGCCACUGUGUACUGCUUGAUACAUACAUGUGGAACAACAGUUUUAUAUAAUAAGGUUUAAGACAAGUUUUCGAAUUUACCUCUCCUUUAUUUUCUGCAAUCUUUCUGGAUCUCUUGAAGGCGCACUUUUAGUUUUAUCACUUUUACCAUCAGCUGAAUUCCAACC